AGCGAACGCUGGCGGCAGGCCUAACACAUGCAAGUCGAACGAACCUUCCGGGGUUAGUUGCGGACGGGUGAGUAACACGUGGGAACGUGCCUUUAGGUCCGGAAUAACUCAGGGAAACUUGUCCUAAUACCGAAUGUGCCCUUCGGGGGCAAGAUUUAUCGCCUUUAGAGCGGCCCGCGUCUGGUUAGCUAGUUGGUUGAGGUAAUGGCACACCAACGCGACGUUCCGUAGCUGGUCUGGGAGGAUGAUAAGCCACAUUGGAGCUGAGACACGGCCCAAAAUCCUACGGAAGGGAGCAGAGGGGAGUCUUGCGCAAUGGGCCGAAGCCUGGCACAGCCAUGCCGGGGGAAUGAUGAGGGUCUUAGGAUUGUAAAAUUCUUUCACAGGGGACGGUAAUGACGGUACCCGGAGAAGAAGCCCCGGCUAACUUCGUG
rnacentral:rRNA from 1 species